rnacentral:ncRNA from 1 species
UAUAUAGAUAUUAAAAGAAGGAGUACUAUAUACUUCAUCCACAGAGAGUCAAGGUUAGUGAGAGCUUGGCGUGUCGGUAUAUACGAAAAACAUCUUUGUUCUUCUGACUGAAAUUUCGAGAGUAGGUUCAGACGUGCACCAGUACGUUAUAAUUGGCAAGUAUUUUAAUGUACGUUGAGGUGUUUUUUACAAAAACUUGGGUGGUACCGCGGAAAAUCUUUCGUCCCUUUU